GGUGGUAGCUCAGUGGUAGAGUGCUUGCCUAGCAUGUGUGAGGCACUGGGUUCGAUUCUCAGCACCA
rnacentral:tRNA from 1 species